CGACCGAGCGCCUUCGCGUCAUUUCCUGCGCACGCAGCACGAGGGGAGGUGUAGGAGUUUAUCAGGGUGUUGAGUGUUGCUUGUGCAAUGUUGGUCCACUCCUCUUCAAUGGCUGUGCGAAGUUGCUGUAUAUUGGCAGGAACUGAAACAUGCUGUGGUAUACGCCGAUCCAGAGCAUCCCAAACAUGCUUAAUGGGUGACAUGUCUGAUGGCUGAUCUGGAGGAGAAAAUCCUGAAGGUGCCCGGGUCAUGGUUUGUCGCUUUUCAAUCCCAAGUCUGGUUUAUAAUGUCUCCAGUGUACGAGAGACAAGAGACAUGACCUUCUCUUUGAAAACACAUCGUUGUGCCAGCUGAUUGAUUUAAAAGUUGCUGAUGUGUCUGUUUAGUAAUAUUGUGUUCAUGAUAAAGCUUGUUCCAAACAGAGAGCCUCAUGCUAUGAAGUGAUAAUGUGAUUGUCUUGGUCAUAAACAUUAUUUUUGUAAUUGGAUCACAUUCAUCUCCCUCUAGCCACACAUCAAAUUUCAUUCUUUAGCGUUACAUAAAUUAAAUCAUACAUUUUCGGCUUCUUGAGCGAGAGUUUAAACACAACCAUAGCUGAUAUCAAUUUGGUUAAUUGGUGUGACUGAGUCAUCUAAUGACUCAUGACAUAUAAAAUGCUAAAAAUGUAUUGGCUCAUAAAGAACACACACUCAAAGAUAGUUAAUUUCCACCCUGCUUAUUUAAGAGCACCCAUGCAUUUUUUUAUGUUUCAGUUU